rnacentral:rRNA from 1 species
CCUACGGGAGGCAGCAGUGGGGGAUAUUGCACAAUGGGGGAAACCCUGAUGCAGCGACGCCGCGUGUAGGAAGACGGUCCUCUGGAUUGUAAACUACUGUCCCCAGGGACGAAGAUGACGGUACCUGGGGAGGAAGCUCCGGCUAACUACGUGCCAGCAGCCGCGGUAAUACGUAGGGAGCGAGCGUUGUCCGGAAUUACUGGGUGAAAAGGGAGCGUAGGCGGGGAUGCAAGUUGGGUGUUAAAUCUACCGGCUAAACUGGUAGUCGCACCCAAAACUGCAGCUCUUGAGUGAAGUAGAGGCAGGCGGAAUUCCUAGUGUAGCGGUGAAAUGCGUAGAUAUUAGGAGGAACACCAGUGGCGAAGGCGGCCUGCUGGGCUUUUACUGACGCUGAGGCUCGAAAGUGUGGGGAGCAAACAGGAUUAGAUACCCUUGUAGUC